rnacentral:rRNA from 1 species
UACGAAGGGGGCUAGCGUUGUUCGGAAUCACUGGGCGUAAAGCGCACGUAGGCGGAUCUUUAAGUCAGGGGUGAAAUCCCAAGGCUCAACCUUGGAACUGCCUUUGAUACUGGAGAUCUUGAGUCCGGGAGAGGUGAGUGGAACUGCGAGUGUAGAGGUGAAAUUCGUAGAUAUUCGCAAGAACACCAGUGGCGAAGGCGGCUCACUGGCCCGGUACUGACGCUGAGGUGCGAAAGCGUGGGGAGCAAACAGG